rnacentral:SRP_RNA from 1 species
GCCGGGCACGAUGACGAGUGCCUGUGGUCCCAGCUACUAGGGAGGCUGAGGCUGGAGGAUCUCUUGAGUCCAGGAGUUCUGGGCUGUAGUGCGCUAUGCCCAUCGGGUGUCCGCACUAAGUUCAGGAUCAAUAUGGUGACCUCCCGGGAGCGGGGGACUACCGGGUUGCCUAAGGAGGGUGAACCGGCCUAGGUCAGAAACGGAGCAGGUAAAAACUCUCCUGCUGAUCAGUAGCGGGAUGGAGCCUGUGAAUAGCCACUGCACUCCAGCCUGGGCAACAUAGUGAGACCCUAUCUCU